GUCGUGUUAGUUUAUGUUUGAAAAUUUCUGAUUUGUAAUUAGAGGAAUGUUACGGCC
rnacentral:tRNA from 1 species